AUCAAACGAACCCUUUUCCCCUUCUCUCCCAUCCCUCUUUCUCGCAAAACCCUAGUAGCCGCCAUUGUUUUCUUCUUCUCUCUCAUCCCAAAAAUGUCUGGUGUGGCUGAGUGUGGGUUUUUGGAAGCACAAAAAGGCUUUCAAGUUCAAUCUUGACCACAGCUGCACUUUAAAAAGGACUCUGAUUUUAUCCUAUGACAACACUGGUUUGGGGAGUUGAGGUGGUUUGGGGGAUAGGUCUUAGCCAUUCCCCGAUGUCCAACCAUGUCUGAGGUUCAUGAAAUCCCUUGAAACUUCUGCGGCGUCGGGAAUACGAGUGGUGACAAUCUUUUCCCUUGUAUGGCAUGAGUUACAAAUUAGUGAAGCCAAUAGUAUACAAUCGAGUCCUUUAAUUGUGCACUUUGUAACCAAAUUUGAUAUAUAUGGUUAUGUGUAUAAUUAUACUAGUGAUAGGUUCAGCAAACGUAGACUAACUUGGGUCCUUUUCUUUUUCCUCCUCUCACUGCAUGGCCAUUUGGGCCGAAGUCCAGCCACCUUAUUGGGCCAAAGGCGCAAUAGGAAAUUUUCCUUCAAUAAAUUAUUAAGUCCGAUGAAAGAAAGGGAAGCUAAUAUUAUUGAAGGCCCAGUCAUGGGUGAGAAUGACAUGAAGGCCCAGUCAUGGUUGAGAAUGACAUGAAGGCCCAACCAUGGGUAAAAAUAGUUAACGAGGGGUUUGGUACACCCCUAGCCUAUCCCUCCUCCUUUAAUUUUAUCAUGCCAGUUUAUUUUGUUGAUUAAAGUGUUGUACUGUAUUUGUAUGUUGUAAAACAACUCACACUAUUAUUGGAAUCAUUUAUGGUUUGAA